rnacentral:rRNA from 1 species
CAAGUGGCGGACGGGUGAGUAACACGUAAGAAUUUGCCUUUAGGAGGGGGAUAACAAUUGGAAACGAUUGCUAAUACCCCAUAUGCUUUCAAGUGAAAUGGAUUUUCCGCCUAAAGAGAAGCUUGCGGCUGAUUAGCUUGUUGGUAAGGUAAUGGCUUACCAAGGCGACGAUCAGUAUCUGGUUUGAGAGGACGAUCAGACACACUGGAACUGAGACACGGUCCAGACUCCUACGGGAGGCAGCAGUAGGGAAUUUUCCGCAAUGGGCGAAAGCUUGACGGAGCAAUACCGCGUGAGGGAUGACUGCCUAUGGGUUGUAAACCUCUUUUUUCAGGGAGGAAUAAUUGACGUGUACCUGAAGAAUAAGCAUCGGCUAACUCCGUGCCAGCAGCCGCGGUAAGACGGAGGAUGCAAGUGUUAUCCGGAAUCACUGGGCGUAAAGCGUCUGUAGGUGGUUAAAUAAGUCAACUGUUAAAUCUUAGGGCUUAACCUUAAAAUCGCAGUCGAAACUAUUAGACUAGAGUAUAGUAGAGGUAAAGGGAAUUUCCAGUGGAGCGGUGAAAUGCGUAGAGAUUGGAAAGAACACCAAUGGCGAAGGCACUUUACUGGGCUAUUACUGACACUCAGAGACGAAAGCUAAGGUAGCAAAUGGGAUUAGAUACCCCAGUAGUCUUAGCCGUAAACAAUGGAUACUAGGUGUUGAACAGAUCGAACUGUGCAGUACUAAAGCUAACGCGUUAAGUAUCCCGCC